CAGUCCGUUUUCUGGAAUGUGGUGGUCUUGCAGGUUUGUAGGUGAUUCAUGUUCUUGUGACCAUCCAAUCUUCUUCAGGUGAUUCAUGUCCUUGUGACCAUCCAAUCUUCUCCAGCAAGGAGACUUAGCACUCCCUCCCUCUAGAUAGCAUUUGAAUGUCUCUCAUCUUUUUCUCAUUCUCUUUUAAAUAGCCCCUUUGUUAGAGAAAGAAGGGCAGGCGUCUCCCCGUCUCCCCUUUGUUAGAGGAAGAGGGGCAGGCGUCUCCUCAAAACUGUAGUUGUCUCCUCAGAGCUGUGUGCCUAUGUGACCAGACACCGCACCCAUGACUAGUCACCAUACCCACAUUCCUCGAGCAGACACAUACAAUCACAAUCGAUGUCCAUUGUCCCCAUUUCACACUAUUUCUCCAUAUCAAUCCCCCCUUUUCUAUUAAAUUAAGUAAAUUCUUUUACUUAAGCAGUCUUCCCGAAUGAUAUAAAGCAUCAUACAUAAGUGUUACCCUUUUAAACAUUCUCCAAACCCACAAAUAUAACAUAAUGGUUAAUAUUAAGGAAAUUCCUAAACUGAUCAAUAAGAUCACAAUGGGGUGUACCAUAGUGUUAAGAAUUCCUGUUGCAGAAGGUGACCAGCCAAAGAGAGUAUUCCACCAAUUAUGGUUUCCAUCCUGUUCUACCUUUUUAAAACUUUCUUGAUCCCCUCUACAUCAUGAUGGGUUCACUUACUUGCCACCCACAUUGUUCCCAUUUUUCCGAGUAAAUUUGAGUUUCAGUUCUUUUUUUAUCUGGGGUUACUUUCCACGAAGUUGCAGGGGCUUUCUUAAUCCGGGUAUGGUGAAUCCAAGAAUUCUGUCCCUCAACCUUGACUGCAGUGUAGGUGGUGAGUAGGACUUGGAAAGGUCCGGUCCACUGUGGUUCCAGGGUUUUAUCUGCAAAACACUUAAC